CCACUUUGUCCACACUACUAAACCUCAAAGAAAAUGAAAUGGAUCAACUUGCCACCUUUCUAGGACAUGACAUCCGUGUCCAUAGAGAAUUCUAUCGGCUUCCAGAGAGUACCCUGCAGCUCGCAAAAGUCAGCAAACUGUUGAUAGCAAUCGAAAAGGAAGACUGCCUUACCUGCAGGGGAAAGGGCUGGAUGACAUUGAGGUCAAUCCUGAAGUAGAAAUGAGUGAUGAUGAUUCCAGUGAAGAAACCAUUGCUGACCUACAUGAAUGCAAAGGCUCAACAACAGAGACUUCUAGGGACCAGACACUUCUGAGGCAAACACCAGAGUCAACCACCCUGGACAACAUGGAGGGCAC